UGGGCCAUAGUUUAAUACAUAAAAUCUUUGAUUUGCACUCAAAAGAUGUCUUCCAAGACUGGCUUAA
rnacentral:tRNA from 1 species